UACGAGGGGGGCAAGCGUUGUUCGGAAUUAUUGGGCGUAAAGCGCGCGCAGGUGGUUUCUUAAGUCUGAUGUGAAAGCCCACGGCUCAACCGUGGAGGGUCAUUGGAAACUGGGAGACUUGAGUGCAGAAGAGGAAAGUGGAAUUCCAUGUGUAGCGGUGAAAUGCGUAGAGAUAUGGAGGAACACCAGUGGCGAAGGCGACUUUCUGGUCUGUAACUGACACUGAGGCGCGAAAGCGUGGGGAGCAAACAGG
rnacentral:rRNA from 1 species